ensembl:snRNA U2 U2 spliceosomal RNA
AUCGCUUCUAGGCCUUUUGGCUAAGAUAAGGUAUCUGUUCUUACCAGUUUAAUAUCUGAUACGUCCCCUAUCCGAGAACAAUAUAUUACAUGGAUUUUUGAAACUAGGAAUUGGAAUGUCCACUCCACACAUUGACCUGGUAUUGCAGUACCUCCAGGAAUGGUGCACCAAUA